rnacentral:lncRNA from 1 species
AUGACCGCUUCUAGGAAGCCUUGGAAAGUCUGCCCUGCCUAUUGCCCCUUUUUGAGGACUUCAUUAUGCAACCUACAAUUCUUGGCUCGGCUGAAGGAGCAAGAGCAGGGCCUCCUAAAUGGCACCUUUCUAUUAGGCUGACCAAAGGCCUGGUAGAUGUGCUCUGCCCAACAGGAAAUCUCUAUACUGAGUAGCAUUGAACCAUCUAGAUUUCUCUUUUGGGUAGGUUUAACCGUGACGCAUGCAAAGGACAGUCCUUAGUCAAGGUAGAUGCAGAAAGGCUCACAGAGGGAAGUGAGAGCAGAGAGUAAGCAGAAGCCAUGGGACAGCCUAAAGGAGAAUAGAGAAAAGAUGACCGGGAGCAGCAGAAGCAAGAGCAGAGAGAGAAUGAUUGAGACCCCAGAGUGCGGAAACACUAGGGUAGGGAGCAAAGGAUGGCGCCCCCUGCUGAGAGGUCCAGAAUGGCAGGCUGCAGUUUCAUCAACAACCUUCUGCAGCAGCGUGAUGUCUCUGCUUUUAUGUCUCUGUAUUGUUGCAAUAAAUUCUUACUCUUUAUCUG